GACAGCUGAGCUGAUCUCAACCUCGCAACCUCAGCACAGUAGAGACGAAGGUGUGUUUCCUGGAUUAUCAUCACACUGAGGACAACUGAACUGAUCUCAACCUAGCAGCCUCAGCACAGUAGAGAUGGAGGUGUGUUUUGUGGAUGAUCAUCACACAGAGGACAGCUGAGCUGAUCACAACCUCGCAACCUCAGCACAGGUCAGUGCAACAAUGAUAUUGCCAUACUGAUGAUUCUUUUAAAUCGAACUGUGACCAUCGACAAUAUAUGUGGUACCUGAGAAAUUAUCAUUUGGGAAAAUUGUCAAGUAA